rnacentral:sRNA from 2 species
CCCAGAGGUAUUGAUAGGUGAUGUCCUCCAGAUGGGGUGACAACCACAAUUACACCAACCUGCGCAGAUGCGCAGGUUUUUUUU